GAUGUCAUUUUUAAGUACCAGCUCUGCCGCACAGGAUGGACGUGCUUGCUCCUUACCUUCUAACAGACGGGAGUGGAAACACAUGGAGGUUAAAUCACUUGUCAAGCAUCUUACUGCUCUCAGUGGUGGGGCCAGGUUUGAACCUCCAGUUUUUCAUCUGGCUUUAAAACCUUCAUUUUAGCCACUACUCACUGCCUGGGACUUGUGGAAGGUGAGAGGAAGUACAGCAGUCACAUUGCCCAUGUCUGACACACAGAUGGCCCUCCAUAAAGAGCUGCUUGUUCUUCAUCUUACCAAGAAUUACCUGCCAUUGGUUCUGAAUGACCCCUAGAGCCCUUCUGCCUACCUCCACCUGGGAAAUAACCCAAGGACAGGGGCACAGAUGGUACAUCUAUAAGGACAUUUCCCUGUCAGCUGGGAAAAGCAGAAUUAUCAAGGACUACUACAAAGCCAGUUCCAUGGCAGGCCUAAUGUGCAUGCCAUCAUUCAGAUGGAAUCCAAAUGAGGCCCAGUCACGGUGCUAAGAAGUCUCUGAGGUUUCAUUGAGAAUGUCCUGCUUCUCAAGAAAGCUUAACAGUAAGAGGAGGAAGAAGGCUACCCCUGCUGGGGUACAAUUGACCAUUCCUCUGGGACAUCUAGGUGAAAGAAAGCAAAGUAAGUCACGUAAGCAACAAAGGCAGAAAUGGAGGUCAGACCAUCGUCUUCUCCAUCGGCAUCAUCAGCAUCACCAGCAUCAACAUCAGCAUCAUCAACAUCACCAGCAUCACCAGCAUCACCAGCAUCAACAUCAGCAUCGGUCUAAUUCUCGAUGUCCGUACAGAGCAAACUUCCACUCUAGAGUUUUACUCUCACUGAAUCCUUGCCACCUCCCCAGAUAUGAUUAUAAAUGCUCUUUAACCCAGGUCUUAUUUCAAACCUUUCCCCAUGCUUGCCACACCCCACAAAAUACAAAAGCAAAAAUAAACAAAAAAGCCCUCGGCAGGAUGCUAUUGAACCCUAUGGACAUAAUUUUCACACGGUAAAACUCUUUUAUCAGCUAAUGGAAAUCUGACCCACAGGAAGAUGAAUGGGGUGAGCCUUCUGUGAAAUAGGGUGAAAAUAAUGGCGUGUCAGGCGGGGUUUGGAGGGAAGCCAGGAAGGUAUUCAGAGAAAAUAUGGAGGAGAUGAACCUCCCCUGCUCCAAAUUUGAAAGCUCAACUACUGGGGGAGGAAAAUUCUUUACCCUCACUCACAAGCCUUCUGAUUUUAUUUCCUCUGACUGCUAAUUGCUGCAGAAGGUAGCAAUGUGGCUUUCUAAAAGGAAUUCAGCAACACUUACAGGCUUGAAAAAUACCGAAGUCGUAUUGUUUGAAUUUAGAGGCCCUAACAGUGAGCAGCAUAACACAGCCAGGAUAAUUAGGAGCUAAACAUGGGUGGGCACUUUCUAGAAAUUUCUUUAUUUCACGGCCUUAGUGAGAGAAAGAUGAAUGAAAAGGGAGGCUCUAAGUUCUGAACAGAGUGAGAAUGCGGGUAGGUAAAUCUUGCCAUGCUCAGUUUUUCCCAUUGUCUGUGUCUUAUUGUUGAGGGCAUAGAGUUUUGACUGGGUGGGGCACUGAUUUUUUUAUGCAUAUACUCAUUUAUUUGACAAAUAUUUAUUGAGUACCCAUAGUGCCUGUGAGUGGCUCAUAGCUUGACAAUUCUACAUGUCCUCUUAGGAAACAUCUGUGAACAAUUACUGUUUUUGUUGUCAUACCAGAGUGGUGUGAAGAAGAGCUUCUAGCAGCUAGUCCACAGAAGAUGAGGAUGCUGUUUAUGUCCCACAGUGCACGGAGCCUCACAGGACAACUGAGAACAUUCUGUCCCCAAAUGUGAGCUGCGGCACUGCUGAGAACUUGGUUCUGAUUGUAGCAACAGCAGUGAAACACUGCCAAGCUUCCGUCUUUAGAAACAUCUUUUAGUUAGGAACAAGGAAUAGCGAGACAAUUACUGGUCAGAAAUACAGCAUGCCAGAUAGUGAGAGAUGGAACGCUGUGACGGAAUGUGAUCAGGAACUGGUCGCUGUCGCAGCUGCCACUGGAGAGAGAGGUCACCGGAGGGCCACUUAGGAGCAGAGUUUCGAGUAGAAACUUCCAGAGAAGCAAGUCAGGGUUUCCGUAACAGUCACAGGAUUGAUCUUUUCCUUCCUUCCUUCCUUCCUUCCUUCCUUCCUUCCUUCCUUCCUUCCUUCCUUCCUUCCUUCCUUCCUUCCUUCUUUCCUUCCUUCCUUCCUUCUUUCCUUCCUUCCUUUUUUCCUUCCUUCCUUCCUUCCUUCCUUCCUUCCUUCCUUCCUUUCUUCCUUCCUUCCUUCCUUCCUUCCUUCCUUCCUUCCUUCCUUCCUUCCUUUUUCCUUUUCUUUCUUCCUUUCUCUCUUCCCUUCCCUCCUUCCUCCGCUUUUGCCUAUAAUGCCUGAAUAAAUUCACUGCAAAAAUAAUUUGAAUAAACUGUGAGAAAAUCAUUUGAGGAUCAUUGUUUAUUCCCUCUUUUUUUUUAACUUCUAAUUUUUGUUAAAAUUGUUUUUGGCUGCUUCAUACAUGUGCACAGAGCAUUCUGGUUAUUCUCAACCCCUUCCUCUCGUGUCUCUUUCCCACCUCUGAUUACUCUCAAUUCCACACAAGGCCUACUUUUGCAUUCACGUCCUUUGGUUUCACUUUGUGAGCCACUGAGUUUAACCAGGACCAUCUGUCUUACAGUGUGUUUGGAACUGCCCCAGUGGAGCCUGCUGGGCUCACCUGAGCUACACAACUGAAGACAAUGACUGCUCCUCCCCGAGAACCAGGAGUAAAGUUCAGCUCAGGGAGGCAGGGCUCUGUGAGUGCCUCCCCAGCCCACGUCUGACUGAUGACCCACCCUUUCCUGUCCUGGCCCAGUGCAGGCAACCACAGCUGCUGUGUUUUCGUGGUUGCAAUGGCUGUCAUGCCAAAGAAUCAGCAUUUCCCAGCCCUGCUCUUUCUCACUGUCAAAGCAUCGGACAUAGAGAAAAACAAAAUAACGUAGUUGCAAAAGUUGGCUACCAUUAAAGACUGGGAAAAUUCGAAUUAUAGAAAUACACCAGCCAUAUGAAUCAAUACAGCUGCUGUUAACCGUGAAAGACUUUUAAAUCAUUAAAUGGACAACAACUCAGGGGGUGCGCACCAAAUAUCAGGCAUCCCUUAAAUACUGAAGUAGGCCUAAGCUUCUGCUCCCAAAAGGAAUUAUAUCUAAAUAGGAAAAAGAGAAGGGGUUGGCAUACUUAUGUGAAUUCAGAGAUGAAGACCACUGAAGGAGCAGAACACACCCCUCCACAUGUGAUUUCCUAUAUGGAUUAUUCUGCGCUGAAGGUGUCUGGAAAGGGCAGCUGCAGGAAGGACUCUGUUUUAUUUUCUCUAAAAGUAAAGCACAGAUUUCCACGCGGAGAGGGGCUGCCUGGGUCAGGAAGAGUAGAGCUCCUGUCACUGGAGGCAGACAGCUGGCAUCCUGAUGAAUCUGCACAACAUCCUUUCUUGAAAAACCUACAGCAUUCCUCAAUUUCUUGCCGGUGGCUGAGCCUCCAAUCCUGCUUUUCUACAGUACAGAACUCCAGGUUCAUCUGUGUCUUUGGGAUUGUUGCUUUUCUCUCUAAGGCACUUUGAGUCAAAGCAAACAGAUUUCAAAUAAAAUUUGUCACUUUUC